rnacentral:rRNA from 1 species
CUCUGUGACUCCUACGGGAGGCAGCAGUGGGGAAUAUUGCACAAUGGGCGCAAGCCUGAUGCAGCCAUGCCGCGUGUAUGAAGAAGGCCUUCGGGUUGUAAAGUACUUUCAGCAGUGAGGAAGGUGGUGCAGUUAAUAGCUGUAUCAUUUGACGUUAGCUGCAGAAGAAGCACCGGCUAACUCCGUGCCAGCAGCCGCGGUAAUACGGAGGGUGCGAGCGUUAAUCGGAAUUACUGGGCGUAAAGCGCAUGCAGGUGGUUUGUUAAGUCAGAUGUGAAAGCCCCGGGGCUCAACCUCGGAAUUGCAUUUGAAACUGGCAGACUAGAGUACUGUAGAGGGGGUAGAAUUUCAGGUGUAGCGGUGAAAUGCGUAGAGAUCUGAAGGAAUACCGGUGGCGAAGGCGGCCCCCUGGACAGAUACUGACACUCAGAUGCGAAAGCGUGGGGAGCAAACAGGAUUAGAUACCCUGGUGG